rnacentral:rRNA from 1 species
AGGACGAACGCUGGCGGCGUGCUUAACACAUGCAAGUCGAGCGGUAAGGCCUUUCGGGGUACACGAGCGGCGAACGGGUGAGUAACACGUGGGUGAUCUGCCCUGCACUCUGGGAUAAGCCUGGGAAACUGGGUCUAAUACCGGAUAUGACCUGCUCUCGCAUGGGGGUGGGUGGAAAGAUUUAUCGGUGCAGGAUGGGCCCGCGGCCUAUCAGCUUGUUGGUGGGGUAAUGGCCUACCAAGGCGACGACGGGUAGCCGACCUGAGAGGGUGACGGCCACGACUGGGACUGAGACACGGCCCAGACUCCUACGGGAGGCAGCAGUGGGGAAUAUUGCACAAUGGGCGCAAGCCUGAUGCAGCAACGCCGCGUGGGGACGAAGGCCUCGGGUUGUAACCUCUUUAGUAGGUAGAAGCGAAAGUGACGGUACCUGCAGAAAAGCACCGCUAACUACGUGCCAGCAGCCCGC